rnacentral:rRNA from 1 species
CGCGUAGGCGGCCAUGUAAGUCAGAUGUGAAAGCCCGGGGCUCAACCCCGGAAGUGCAUUUGAUACUGUAUGGCUUGAGUAUGGGAGAGGGAAGUGGAAUUCCUGGUGUAGAGGUGAAAUCCGUAGAUAUCAGGAGGAACACCGGUGGCGAAGGCGACUUCCUGGACCAAUACUGACGCUGAGGCGCGAAGGCGUGGGGAGCAAACA